rnacentral:lncRNA from 1 species
GUGCAUCGGCCAAUUUACUCCACUGAGAACGGAAACAAUCCAGACUGUCCGUAUAUGUGCACAAGAGAGGGGAGGAGUUCCAUAUCACCAUUUCAAAUGGUAUGUUCCAGGGUUUACAGGCCAAGUAUUUCCAUAUUUUUAAUCAAAAGUGCAGCUGUGGCGAAACCACUGUUAGCAAACACAGUAGUAGUUGCUUUGGAGGUAGAACACCAAACAAAGAAAGAGUGGAUGACAUUGCCAUUAACACAGCAUUAGUUACAACGUUUUGCAAGUCGGAAAAAUAUGCGCUAACGUACUAAAAGAACCACCUCUUCUUAACUGCAG